CGGCGAGUAGCGCAACUGGUUUGGGACCAGUGGGUCGGAGGUUCGAAUCCUCUCUCGCCGACUA
rnacentral:tRNA from 4 species